AGUUCAGCCAGUGUAGGCUGAACUCAACAUAUGGCUUUGAUGAUCACCCUUCACAAGCCUACGGAAUGCCUGGGGUGACUCCAUUUCAGGCUGUGGGAACAAGGGGUUUAUGUUUCAUAUAUCUCACAUUCUUCUCCUGGUACCAGAGUGUCAUCUGGGGUAUGCUUUUUUCAUGAGAAUGACAGAGGCACAUGAGAACAAGUGGCAACACAGGAGGACACUGAAGUCUUGGCUCAGAAAUUGCACACUCUACCCAUGUGCUAUUAGCCAAAACAAGUUACAGGGUCAAGCCUGAUUGAGGGAUGGAGAAGCACACUCUGCCCUCCCUCCAUGAGGCCCAGAAAAAGUGUGGAUGCAGAAGAAAGUUGGAAUUGGGGGUAAAACUCUAUAACCAACACAGCUUGGCCUCUUAAUCUUCCUUCAGCACAUUGAUGCUAUGAAAAUCACAUUACUGUCAUCAGUGGAUUAAUAGAGCUGCUACCUAGACUGACAAGACGCAGUAAAAACGCCUGGCAAAUUGGAGCUGGGGUGAUAUGGAAUCCUACAAAGAAGAACCACAGAAAGCAUCAUUAGAAAGAAAGCCUAGCAAGUGAGAUAAAAUAACUGCAGCUAGAAAUGUUGGUAAUGGGAAGAAUACAAGCUUAAUAUCAAGUGGACCAAGAUUUGAAUCCCAAAGCUGACAUUUAUAAUUUGUUUCCUGGGCAAAGUUUUUACCCACUAAGUAGGAUGGUGACACCUCAGCCCUUCUGCGAGAAAAACAAGGGUGAUCCACAUCCCCCAUCCCUCAUCUUAAAGUCAGGUUCAUAACGGAUAAGGCCUCUGAUCAGCCAAAUAACAAGCUGGAGGACUCAGGAGGCCCUUGCUUUGGUUCCUAUUGGAACAAUACAACAUAGAACAGGGCCAAGAAAAGGGCAAAGGAAAUACAAAAGGACGCCUGGAAGAUUUGCACAGGGCAAAGGAUGACUUGCUGAGUUAAUUUAAAGUGAUGCUGAAAUUAAGGGAACUCUCCUGAGGCCAGUGUAAGUAAAAUGGGACCUGUAUUUAUGGUGCUGCAGAGGAGUUUCAUGAAAUCCAAAGUCAGAGUUUUAGUUUGGCCCCAAGAACAGCCUAGGCUGGAGACUAGAGAGCUAAAGGUAACCAAUAGAUAUUUUCCAUGCAUAUAUUUGUUCUCUCCUUCUGUGUAUAAGUUCAAUUAAUGCCAGUCUUUCUGAGUUUCCUAUUCCUUGUUUAAGUCAUUCUUUGUUUCAUUGAAAAAUUCCCUAGUCCAGUUCCUGCUUUCCUCAAGAAAGGAACUAAUUAACUGGACCAGUUUGGGUUUGAAGGUUCACUCCUGGUCUCUUCCAAACCAUGGGUAUAAUUUAAGCUAAAAAUGAAAAUAAAUAUGAGCAACAAAAGUUAAAGAAAUACUAGUAUGCCAAAGGAAAAUUUAACAACUCUUUAAAGACAUUUUGGGUCAUAAGGAAUCAAAUUGCUGACAAUCUGCAAAAUACAAUUCAUGAAGAACUUAUGGAUACAGCUAAAUCAGUGCUCACAGGAAAAAUCUAUCAUAAAUAAAUCUAUUGUUAUGAUAAUAAACAAAAAUAAUUAAAAUCUUUAAUCACUCAACACAAGAAAUUACAAAAUGUAAAAAAGGACAUUAGAAGGAAUAAAUUAAGGUUAAAAACAAUAGAAAUAGAAAUCAUAAAAACUGUAAAACUAUUACAUAGUUUCAAGAGUGCAUUGCAGAAUUAUAGAAAGCUUUUGCUUUAAAAUAAGGAAUAAGAAGUCCCUGUAUAUAUUACACACUGUAAGUUAAUUUAAUAUGGAGUCACAUUUUAAUGCAAUUAGGUAACAAAAAUAAUUUUUUAGAAAAGAUACUAUAUUGUUGAAGGCAAAAAUGCUAUGUGAGACUCAAUAAUUGAAGCCCAACCUGAUUCUCUGUCCCUAUGUUAAACAAUGCUGGGACCAAGCAAUAAUACCUUAUCUGCAUGCUUCAGAAUUACUGGCUCCUGAAAGAUAAGACUAGGAAAGACCUAAACAACUUAUUAUCAAGACUAACAGUUUGCUCCUGAAGACUCCCUUCAAGAUCGUCUCACAGCUAAGUUUAGCAAUCAAAGUAAACCCUGCCCAUUUCUAGCAUUUAUCUGCCUUAAAGUUACCCAGCCCAGACCCUGAACCUUCCUAAAUGUAUUUUCCUAUUUUUCCAACUUUGGGAGACUGCUAAGAAUUGUAUUGCAGUAUGUCUCAUACACAGUUUAGCUCCAUUAAUAGAUGUUUUCUGGUGGUCAUAUGUGAUAUAAUGGGCAGGCUUAACAAAAGACGAAAAUGCUAACUUGUGUUCUCUGUUUGCCACAAUGUCACUUUGGUUUUGUAGAGAUUAAGAAACUGAGCUGCGAGAGAUUAAAUAUUCUAUCAAGGUCAUUGCCCGCAAGCAGGGUAGGAGGAUUUAAAAAGGUCUGACACACACCUGAAAUUCUACUUGUUCCAUUACUACAUCCUGCCUGCAGUUGGCCAUCUCUAUUUCUGCAUUUUGCUGGAAAAUCCCACCUUGAGUCCUUUUAGCCUGUACUUUUCCUUCAAAUUAUCUCAAUGGCAGCACAUGAGAAAAGCCCUUGAAUUGCUCUUUUUAUUACUUCAGUUGCUAUAGAAAUUCUGUGUCCUACCUCUCAUCUUACCAGAAUGAUCAUCAAAGGAUCUGAAUGAUUGAAUUUGAGAAAUAAAAGUAAUGAUGGUUUCUCAUGUAUUAUUUUGUCUAUUUAUAUGUGCCUACUUGAACCUGAACAAGACUGAAGACAUUUAAUGCACGUUUGCAAAGGCUGUAGAGCGCAUCCAGUGGUUUUACAUGCAUUGUCUUAUUUGAAUUCGAUUUGAUUUGAUUCUAGUCUGAACUUAUUCUCAACAUGUUACCAUCCACACUUAUAAUAAAAACC
rnacentral:lncRNA from 1 species